GCUCGUAUGGCUUAGUUGGUAAAGCGCAUGACUAGUAUCAUAAUCGAUUAAAUCAUGAGAUCCUCGGUUCGAAUCCGAGUACGAGCA
rfam:Talaromyces islandicus isolate WF-38-12 genome assembly, contig: WF-38-12_scaffold00002